UGUGCAUUUAUGGUUGAAAUGUACUUUUUCCUUUUUAUGUAUUUGUUAUGUAGAUGGCAAAAAGCAAGGGAGAGACAACAGAAAUUGCUUGCAGAAUUCGCCUCAGGGCAAAAAAACUUCAUGGAAACAGCAAUGGAUGUUGAGCUCCUGUCUUCAGUCAGUAUCAGUCGGUUGGGAAGGUGGCGUCUAUGUUCAGACCUGUGGCCAUACUCAUAUUGACUGCCAUAAAUCGUAUAUGGAAUCCUUACGGGGGAUGCGAAGAGGAGAGGGAAGAAGUCCCAAUACUUUUCCGAGAUGUCACCUCUCUUUUGCUCAUUCAGGUUCUAACAAUGCCCCAGUUAUUGUGUAAAGCAUUCCCAAAACUGCGGAGCUGGCACUGAAAUUCUCCUCUUGAUCAAUGCUUCCGUCGUCAUUAUUAUUCAAGGCCAUCGCUUCUGCCUCUGGGGCUCUGUCUAUCUCGAUGCACAUGGGGAGGAAGACAGAGACCUUAGGUAAUAUGGAUUAGUAUUACUGCCUUUCUAUACGCAGACAGCACUACUCUGUAAUUUGUUAACUCUCUCUUCCUUUCUAGUCCACUUCACCAAUUUUACAUUUACAGGAUUAAACCUUUUAUAGUGAAUUUU